CCAUCGCGCAGGACGAGCCGUGUUUGCAGCUGCGCAGGAACGUUUUCUUCCCCAAGAGCCGCGAGCUGGAGCUGCAGGAGGAGGAGCUGCUGCGGCUGCUCUACGAGGAGGCCCGGGAGCAUCUGCAGGGGGGGUCGUUACCCCGUGGACCCCCCCGAGGCGGCCGAGCUGGGGG